UCGAACGCGAAAGCUUCUUCGGAAAAUGAGUAGAGUGGCGCACGGGUGAGUAACGCGUAAAUAAUCUACCCUUGCAUCUGGAAUAACCCACCGAAAGGUGUGCUAAUACCGGAUACGUUCUUUUGAUCGCGAGAUCUUAAGAAGAAAGGUGGCCUUGAUAUAAGCUAUCACGCAUUGGUUGGUCUGCGUACCAUUAGUUUUUUGGUGGGGUAAUGGCCUACCAAGACUACGAUGGUUAACGGGUCUGAGAGGAUGAUCCGUCACACUGGCACUGAAACACGGGCCAGACUCCUACGGGAGGCAGCAGUGAGGAAUAUUGCGCAAUGGGGGCAACCCUGACGCAGCGACGCCGCGUGGGUGAGGAAGGCUUUCGGGUCGUAAAGCUCUGUCAGAAGGGAAGAAAUGCUUAUAGGUUAAUACCUUGUAAGUUUGACGGUACCUUCAAAGGAAGCACCGGCUAACUCCGUGCCAGCAGCCGCGGUAAUACGGAGGGUGCAAGCGUUGUUCGGAAUCACUGGGCGUAAAGGGCGCGUAGGCGGCUUGGCAAGUCAGAUGUGAAAGCCCAAGGCUCAACCUUGGACGUGCAUUUGAAACUGGCAGACUUGAGUACUGGAGGGGAUGGUGGAAUUCCCGGUGUAGAGGUGAAAUUCGUAGAUAUCGGGAGGAAUACCGGUGGCGAAGGCGGCUUCUUGGAUUGAUACUGACACUGAGGUACGAAAGCGUGGGGAGCAAACAGGAUUAGAUACCCUGGUAGUCCACGCCGUAAACGAUGUCAACUAGGUGUUGGGGCGGUUAAUCGUCUCAUUGCCGGAGCUAACGCAUUAAGUUGACCGCCUGGGGAGUACGGUCGCAAGAUUAAAAUGCACGAAGGAAUUGACGGGGGCCCGCACACGCGGUGGAGUAUGUGGUUUUAAUUGCGACGCAACGCGCAAGGAACCCUUACACUGGUUCUUGACAUCCCGGGAAUCCACGUGGAAACACAAGAGUGCCUCAUUAGAGGAGCUUGGUGACAGGUGCUGCAUGGCUGUCGUCAGCUCGUGUCGUGAGAUGUUGGGUUAAGUCCCGCAACGGAGCGCAUCCCUUGCCUUUAGUUGCCAUCAUUAAGUUGGGCACUCUAGAGGGACUGCCGGUGUCAAACCGGAGGAAGGUGGGGAUGACGUCAAGUCCUCAUGGCCUUUAUGAUCAGGGCUACACACGUAUACAAUGCCGGUACAAAGG
rnacentral:rRNA from 1 species